rnacentral:rRNA from 1 species
GGACCAAGGAGUCUAGCAUGUGCGCGAGUCAUUGGGACUCCUAUUAAACCUAAAGGCGCAAUGAAAGUAAAGGUCCGCCUCGCGCGGACCGAGGGAGGAUGGGCCCGUCUCCGGGCGGGCCCCGCACUCCCGGGGCGUCUCGUUCUCAUCGCGAGAAGAGGCGCACCCAGAGCGUACACGCUGGGACCCGAAAGAUGGUGAACUAUGCCUGGUCAGGACGAAGUCAGGGGAAACCCUGAUGGAGGUCCGUAGCGAUUCUGACGUGCAAAUCGAUCGUCGGAACUGGGUAUAGGGGCGAAAGACUAAUCGAACCUUCUAGUAGCUGGUUCCCUCCGAAGUUUCCCUCAGGAUAGCUGGCGCUCGCCUUCGCGAGUCUCAUUCGGUAAAGCGAAUGAUUAGAGGCAUUGGGGUCGAAACGGCCUCAACCUAUUCUCAAACUUUAAAUGGGUGAGAUCUCCGGCUUGCUUGAAACGUGAAGCCGCGAGAAUCGGAUCAGAGUGCCAAGUGGGCCACUUUUGGUAAGCAGAACUGGCGCUGUGGGAUGAACCAAACGCGGAGUUAAAGCGCCAAAAUCGACGCUUAUGGGAUACCAUGAAAGGCGUUGGUAACUUAAGACAGCAGGACGGUGGCCAUGGAAGUCGGA